UUCCUACGGGACGCAGCAGUGAGGAAUAUUGGUCAAUGGGCGGGAGCCUGAACCAGCCAAGCCGCGUGAGGGAAGAAGGUACAGCGUAUCGUAAACCUCUUUUGUCAGGGAACAAAGGCGGGGACUAGUCCCCGGAUGAGGGUACCCGGAGAAAAAGCAUCGGCUAACUCCGUGCCAGCAGCCGCGGUAAUACGGAGGAUGCGAGCGUUAUCCGGAUUUAUUGGGUUUAAAGGGUGCGCAGGCGGAAGCGCAAGUCAGCGGUAAAAUUGAGAGGCUCAACCUCUUCCCGCCGUUGAAACUGCGUU
rnacentral:rRNA from 1 species